rnacentral:rRNA from 1 species
AUACGGAGGGGGUUAGCGUUGUUCGGAAUUACUGGGCGUAAAGCGUACGUAGGCGGAUUGGUAAGUUAGAGGUGAAAUCCCGGGGCUCAACCCCGGAACUGCCUUUAAUACUGCCAGUCUUGAGUUCGAGAGAGGUGAGUGGAAUUCCGAGUGUAGAGGUGAAAUUCGUAGAUAUUCGGAGGAACACCAGUGGCGAAGGCGGCUCACUGGCUCGAUACUGACGCUGAGGUACGAAAGUGUGGGGAGCAAACAGAAUUAGAUACCCUAGUAGUCC